GACGAACGCUGGCGGCGUGCCUAACACAUGCAAGUCGAGCGGAAUGAAGUUCCUUCGGGAACGGAUUUAGCGGCGGACGGGUGAGUAACACGUGGGCAACCUGCCUCAUAGAGGGGAAUAGCCUUCCGAAAGGGAGAUUAAUACCGCAUAAGAUUGUAGUACCGCCAUGGUACAGUAAUUAAAGGAGUAAUCCGCUAUGAGAUGGGCCCGCGGCGCAUUAGCUAGUUGGUGAGGUAACGGCUCACCAAGGCGACGAUGCGUAGCCGACCUGAGAGGGUGAUCGGCCACAUUGGGACUGAGACACGGCCCAGACUCCUACGGGAGGCAGCAGUGGGGAAUAUUGCACAAUGGGGGAAACCCUGAUGCAGCAACGCCGCGUGAGUGAUGACGGCCUUCGGGUUGUAAAGCUCUGUCUUCAGGGACGAUAAUGACGGUACCUGAGGAGGAAGCCACGGCUAACUACGUG
rnacentral:rRNA from 1 species